rnacentral:rRNA from 1 species
AGGGAAUCUUCGGCAAUGGACGGAAGUCUGACCGAGCAACGCCGCGUGAGUGAAGAAGGUUUUCGGAUCGUAAAGCUCUGUUGUAAGAGAAGAACGAGUGUGAGAGUGGAAAGUUCACACUGUGACGGUAUCUUACCAGAAAGGGACGGCUAACUACGUGCCAGCAGCCGCGGUAAUACGUAGGUCCCGAGCGUUGUCCGGAUUUAUUGGGCGUAAAGCGAGCGCAGGCGGUUAGAUAAGUCUGAAGUUAAAGGCUGUGGCUUAACCAUAGUACGCUUUGGAAACUGUUUAACUUGAGUGCAAGAGGGGAGAGUGGAAUUCCAUGUGUAGCGGUGAAAUGCGUAGAUAUAUGGAGGAACACCGGUGGCGAAAGCGGCUCUCUGGCUUGUAACUGACGCUGAGGCUCGAAAGCGUGGGGAGCAAACAGGAUUAGAUACCCUGGUAGUCCACGCCGUAAACGAUGAGUGCUAGGUGUUAGACCCUUUCCGGGGUUUAGUGCCGAAGCUAACGCAUUAAGCACUCCGCCUGGGGAGUACGACCGCAAGGUUG